rnacentral:rRNA from 1 species
UACGGAGGGGGCUAGCGUUGUUCGGAAUUACUGGGCGUAAAGCGCGCGUAGGCGGACCUGCAAGUCGGGGGUGAAAGCCCGAGGCUCAACCUCGGAACUGCCUUUGAUACUGCAAGUCUCGAGUCCGAUAGAGGUGAGUGGAAUUCCUAGUGUAGAGGUGAAAUUCGUAGAUAUUAGGAAGAACACCAGUGGCGAAGGCGGCUCACUGGAUCGGUACUGACGCUGAGGUGCGAAAGCGUGGGGAGCAAACAGG